GUGCUAGUUUCGGCAGCGCAUAUACUAAAAUUGGAAUGACACAGAGAAGAUUAGCAUGGCCCCUGCACAAGGAUGACACGCAAAUUCGUGGCGUUCCAUAUUUUUUU
rnacentral:snRNA from 1 species